rnacentral:misc_RNA from 1 species
GAUGAAGAACGCAGCGAAAUGCGAUAAGUAAUGUGAAUUGCAGAAUUCAGUGAAUCAUCGAAUCUUUGAACGCACAUUGCGCCCGCCAGUAUUCUGGCGGGCAUGCCUGUUCGAGCGUCAUUACAACCCUCAGGCCCCCGGGCCUGGCGUUGGGGAUCGGCGGAGCCCCCCGUGGGCACACGCCGUCCCCCAAAUGCAGUGGCGGUCCCGCCGCAGCUUCCAUCGCGUAGUAGCUAACACCUCGCGACUGGAGAGCGGCGCGGCCACGCCGUAAAACACCCAACUCUUCUGAAGUUGACCUCGAAUCAGGUAGGAAUACCCGCUGAACUUAAGCAUAUUAAUAAGCGGAGGA